AACCUUAUGGACCUGCGGGCGUAUACCUGCGGAAGGAUCAUUCGAGAAUUGUUGUUCGUGGCACGCCCGCGGACAGCGUAUUGGAUUCGUCCAAGACCUUUGUGCAAACUGUUUUAACAUCCCUUGGCAUGCUUUAGAUAGAUUCAUUGGAUCUGUUUAACUCUCUUAAGAUCCUCUUGCGGGUUUUUAGGGAGCGGCAUGCCUAAGGUUUAUUAAACCAACGCGUCUUUUUGUCUGAAA
rnacentral:misc_RNA from 1 species